GUGAGGAAUAUUGGUCAAUGGGCGCAAGCCUGAACCAGCCAUGCCGCGUGCAGGAAGACGGUCCUAUGGAUUGUAAACUGCUUUUAUACAGGAAGAAACACCUCCACGUGUGGAGGCUUGACGGUACUGUAGGAAUAAGGAUCGGCUAACUCCGUGCCAGCAGCCGCGGUAAUACGGAGGAUCCAAGCGUUAUCCGGAAUCAUUGGGUUUAAAGGGUCCGUAGGCGGUCUUAUAAGUCAGUGGUGAAAGCCCAUCGCUCAACGAUGGAACUGCCAUUGAUACUGUAGGACUUGAAUGCUUGUGAAGUAACUAGAAUAUGUAGUGUAGCGGUGAAAUGCUUAGAUAUUACAUGGAAUACCAAUUGCGAAGGCAGGUUACUAACAAGUUAUUGACGCUGAUGGACGAAAGCGUGGGGAGCGAACAGGAUUAGAAACCCUUGUAGUCC
rnacentral:rRNA from 1 species